GAUGAACGCUGGCGGCGUGCCUAAUACAUGCAAGUCGAGCGAACAGACGAGGAGCUUGCUCCUCUGACGUUAGCGGCGGACGGGUGAGUAACACGUGGAUAACCUACCUAUAAGACUGGGAUAACUUCGGGAAACCGGAGCUAAUACCGGAUAAUCUAUUGAACCGCAUGGUUCAAUAGUGAAAGACGGUUUUGCUGUCACUUAUAGAUGGAUCCGCGCCGCAUUAGCUAGUUGGUAAGGUAACAGCUUACCAAGGCAACGAUGAGUAGCCGACCUGAGAGGGGGAUCGGCCACACUGGAACUGAGACACGGUCCAGAAUCCUACGGGAGGCAGCAGUAGGGAAUCUUCCGCAAUGGGCGAAAGCCUGACGGAGCAACGCCGCGUGAGUGAUGAAGGUCUUCGGAUCGUAAAACUCUGUUAUUAGGGAAGAACAAAUGUGUAAGUAACUAUGCACGUCAUGACGGUACCUAAUCAGAAAGCCACGGCUAACUACGUG
rnacentral:rRNA from 1 species